UUUUUAGGAUCUUGAUGAUGCAUUUUUCAUUAUCGGUGGAGUGAACGCCCUCAGAUCAAAGACCUCAUUGUAUUUCCCUCUUCCCACCUUCCUCACAACCUCGUAGUCAUCUUGCUCCCUGCAACUCAUGA